rnacentral:lncRNA from 1 species
AUAAAACCCUACAAAAAACAUCCAAUUACCCAAUUGCAUUCCCACAUGCAUCACAUGCAUCAUUCCAUGCAUAAUUUUCCUGCCAAUUAGGAAGAUUCAUCAAACCCAAUCCCAUCAAUCAUCAGCAUACUCAUGCAUAACACUCCCACAAAGUGGGAAUUUCAUUAAAAAAAUGAUGAACAAAAUUCGUUGCAUUCCCAUGCGCAUCAUAAAUAUCC